CCUUCCAGGCGGUGGCGGUAAUAAACAUAUUCCUUGACCCUACAAAUGUUGACUAUAAAAGCGACCGUUCAUCUGAUACUCGGUCUAUUUGAAUCGGGAUACUUCCAGGGUGUCCCUUAACUAAAAGGAAUUCCUGCUUCACUGCACUUCACUGCUUCAGAGAACUGCCAGCAGUUUAGCCUGUUCAAAAGUCUCCUGUUGUGUACUGGUUGUGGGCAUUGCAGAGGCCUUGAUGAGGAUGCACUUCUCGGAUUGUACUCUGAUGCGGUGUGGGAGUGGGUCAAUCUCCUGGAUGUGUGGUGGUUGAAGGGCCAACAUGAGAACCUCAUCUGAACUAAGGUUGAAGGGCCAACAUGAGGACCUCAUCUGAACUAAGCAUGUCUUCGGUCAUCAAGUGAAGUGGGAACCACAUCAUGAGGCUGCAGAGGCAGACACUGCCUAGGUGGAAGCUUUGCUCUAUGAAAGAGAAUUGGCUGCUUGGAUCUUCACAGGCAUCAUCAUGACCUUGGACCUACUCCUGAGGCAUGGCACCCCCUGACUGGAUUUGAGGUGCCAGUUAAUUGUCCUGACCAUCUGUCAUAAAAUGGGUCCAUACAGACCUUGUGUGCAUACAGGUUUGAAAUCCUUGGCAGCAGCCCUGGCCAGACACGGCUGGAAAAAAGGGUCCAUACAGAAAAACGAUCUGAAUGUGUGCUGAGGAGUGGGGAGGUCCAUGCCACAUUUCAGGACCUGAUUUCAACGAGGUUGCCUGCAUCCUCAGUGAUUUGGGUCCCAGCUAGCUACCCCCAAGCUCUACUUCCCUGUUUGCUUCAAGACUUGUUUUGCCAUCACUUUUUUCCUUGUACUACAGUGUUUAUUUGAAUAAAUGUGUGGCUUUCACAUUC